rnacentral:sRNA from 1 species
GCAGGGGGAUACUGGACUAAACAGCCCCCCCCCCCCUUUUUUUUUUUCUGAGGCGGAGUCUCGGUCUGUCCAGGCUGGAGUGCAUUGGCGCAAUCUCGUCUCACUGCAACCUCUGCCGCCCAGGUUCAAGCGAUUUUCUUGCCUCAGCCUCCCAAGUAGCUGGUAUUACAAGCGCCUGCCACUGUGCCUGGCUAAUUUUUGUAUUUUUAGUAGAGACGGGGUUUCAUCAUCUUGGCCAGGCUGGUCUUGAACUCCUGAAGUGGUGAUCCACCUCGGCCUCCUAAAGUGCUGGGAUUACAGGUGUGAGCCACCAUGCCUGGCCUCUCUCUUUUUUUUUUUUAAACUAAGUUUAUAUUAUGAAUAUACGAAUGUUUAUCAAAAUGCUUACCAUGUGCCAAGCCCUGGGGAUGUUUUGUAUACUAGAAAAAGAAAAGAAUAAUGUGUUACUUGCUUCCUUGAGAUCCUAAUAUUUAAAAGUACUAGCCAGAAUUGUAAAUGAUAAUUAAAUUGGUUGAUUGCACCUUCAGUAGUACAUUAGUAUUGUUAUAAUAUUGUGACUUUUUUCAACUGCAGUGAGAGUAGCAUGUUUGUCUCCAAGAGACGUUUCAUUUUGAAGACAUGUGGUACCACCCUCUUGCUGAAAGCACUGGUUCCCCUGUUGAAGCUUGCUAGGGAUUACAGUGGGUUUGACUCAAUUCAAGUAAGUAAGCAAACAUUUAAAUAUUUUUUCAGGCAUAAAUGUUAGCGUUCUUAUCCUGUAAUAUGCGAAGUAAAUAAAUUUAUAUACUUACUGCCUUUGUUACAAUGCAUGCAAACACGUGGUAAGGUGUUCAUACCUUAGGAAGAGAUCUGAUUCUCAAGAACAGCAGAAAAUAUGAAGGAAGCAGAGAAUGAGUUAGGAUGAAAUUCAAAUGGGAGAAAGAAAUGAAGAAGCCAGACACUUCCAGUAGUUAAUUUCUUAACAUGGCUACUUAUAAUAAUAGAGAAAUGGUAAGAAAAGAAGGAAAAGCAAGAAAAAUGUCAUUACUGAAAUUGUCCAGUCUUUAUAAUGAAGAGUUAGGAUGAAGAGCAACAGUCAGUAUUGAGUUAAAUUCUUAUACUUUUCAAGAACUAAGGUGUUUUUACCUAGGGUAUAAUUUUCUGAUUAGCAGUUGUUACAUUUUAUUUAUUUUUUUAUUUUUUAUUUUUUCGAGAUGGAGUUUCGCUCUUGUUUCCCAGGCUGGAAUGCAAUAGCACGAUCUCAGCUCACUGCAAUCUGCACCUCCCAGGUUCAAGUGAUUCUCCUGCCUCAGCCUCCCAAGUAGCUGGGAUCACAGGUGCCCACCACCACGCCUGGCUAAUUUUUUUUGUAUUUUUAGUAGAGACGGUGUUUCACCAUGUUGGCCAGGCUGGUCUCUUAACUCCUGACCUCAGGUGAUCCACCCGCCUCAGUCUCCUAAAGUGCUGGGAUUGCAGGCGUGAGCCACUGCACCCGGCCUGAAUUUUAGUCUUUAACUUCAUAAGGAAAGGAUGGAUUGUCAUUAGUACUCAAUACAGUUUUUGUUGUUAUGAAUUGAUCCUUGUAAGAAAUCUAAAGCAAUGUGUGCUUAACCGAUGCUUAAAACUAAUAUGUUAUUCCCCCCAAAUUUUUGCUUAUAUGACUAUUAAUAAGCUCAGUUUAGAAACUACUGUUCUAGAAAGGAAUAUACUUGGUGUUAAUAGUUGUUAUGACCCAUCAUCACUAGACUGGGCUUUUUAAAAAAAAGAGAGAGAGAGAGAGAUGGGGCCUCAGUAUGCUGCCCAGGCUGGACUCCUGGGCCAAGUGAUCCUCCUGCCUCCUAAUAGCGAGACUACAGGCAUAUGCUACCAUGCCAAGCUAAAAUAUUUGAGUUUUGAUUUUGCCGAGUUUUGAUAUGUGGAGAAUAGUUGAUUAGCUUCGAAAAGUGAUAGAAUUCUACAUCUAAAAGUCAUCUUUUUUUUUCUUUCUUUUCUUUUUUAAUAAAGAGCUUCUUUUAUUCUCGUAAGAAUUUCAUGAAGCCUUCUCACCAAGGGUACCCACACCGGAAUUUCCAGGAAGAAAUAGAGUUUCUUAAUGCAAUUUUCCCAAAUGGAGCAGCAUAUUGUAUGGGACGUAUGAAUUCUGACUGUUGGUACUUAUAUACUCUGGAUUUCCCAGAGAGUCGGGUAAUCAGUCAGCCAGAUCAAACCUUGGAAAUUCUGAUGAGUGAGCUUGACCCAGCAGUUAUGGACCAGUUCUACAUGAAAGAUGGUGUUACUGCAAAGGAUGUCACUCGUGAGAGUGGAAUUCGUGACCUGAUACCAGGUUCUGUCAUUGAUGCCACAAUGUUCAAUCCUUGUGGGUAUUCGAUGAAUGGAAUGAAAUCGGAUGGAACUUAUUGGACUAUUCACAUCACUCCAGAACCAGAAUUUUCUUAUGUUAGCUUUGAAACAAACUUAAGUCAGACCUCCUAUGAUGACCUGAUCAGGAAAGUUGUAGAAGUCUUCAAGCCAGGAAAAUUUGUGACCACCUUGUUUGUUAAUCAGAGUUCUAAAUGUCGCACAGUGCUUGCUUCGCCCCAGAAGAUUGAAGGUUUUAAGCGUCUUGAUUGCCAGAGUGCUAUGUUCAAUGAUUACAAUUUUGUUUUUACCAGUUUUGCUAAGAAGCAGCAACAACAGCAGAGUUGAUUAAGAAAAAUGAAGAAAAAACGCAAAAAGAGAACACAUGUAGAAGGUGGUGGAUGCUUUCUAGAUGUCGAUGCUGGGGGCAGUGCUUUCCAUAACCACCACUGUGUAGUUGCAGAAAGCCCUAGAUGUAAUGAUAGUGUAAUCAUUUUGAAUUGUAUGCAUUAUUAUAUCAAGGAGUUAGAUAUCUUGCAUGAAUGCUCUCUUCUGUGUUUAGGUAUUCUCUGCCACUCUUGCUGUGAAAUUGAAGUGCAUGUAGGAAAAACCUUUUACUAUAUGAAACUUUACAACACUUGUGAAAGCAACUCAAUUUGGUUUAUGCACAGUGUAAUAUUUCUCCAAGUAUCAUCCAAAAUUCCCCACAGACAAGGCUUUCGUCCUCAUUAGGUGUUGGCCUCAGCCUAACCCUCUAGGACUGUUCUAUUAAAUUGCUGCCAGAAUUUUACAUCCAGUUACCUCCACUUUCUAGAACAUAUUCUUUACUAAUGUUAUUGAAACCAAUUUCUACUUCAUACUGAUGUUUUUGGAAACAGCAAUUAAAGUUUUUCUUCCAUGAGUUGAGUCCUUAAGAAAAUGAUUCCAGUUACUCAUUUUGCAUAUUUGCUAUUUUAACAUUAUUGGACCCUGCAUUUAUAGUCCUUUGAUUUCUUCCCUCUCCCUGGUGUCUCCCCCAAGACCCCAAAUAAAGCAAUACACUGUUAACACUGUGGGUUUAUAUACUAAUUCUAUACCCCAGAUGGGGAAUGGGGGAGAUGGUCCCUGGGCUUAAUAUUCUUUAAAGGGCAUGGGAAUUUAGCCUCUCUUUUAUUGUAAUGUGCUCUUUUGGAAAAUAGUUGGUUAGCAGGGAAGACCCAGAGUUGUAGAUUGAGAUUAGGGUGUACUGGCUGAACUGUGGAAAACAUACAAUUCUGUGUUCCUCAGUAAAUGAGAUUAGCGUCUAAUGAGUAGCACCCCUUUACUAACUUAGUAGUAGUAUAAAAUCAUUUUUAUUUAGUUAAUUACCAGAGAGAUUUAGCAUAAUUUUGUUCUGGAUUCAGUAAAUCAAGUCAGCUUGGAUCAUUCACCUUAACUUUUCCUUUAGCAGCCAUUUCCACUAGUUUCCAUUAAGUAGUGUUCUAUAAACUUCGAUCCAAAGCAGAAUCAAUGUCUUUUCCAUCUGGUGACUUAAAGUUCUGUGACUGUGAUGCAUGUGAGUGUUCCGACUUCAUCUGUUCCUCUUAACUACGGUGUUUCCCUCACCAUGGCAUUCAUAGGAUGAAAUGAAUGACUGCCCAGAAUGAGAAUUUGUCCAGAUUAUUCAGAUAAACAUCAUAAAGCAGAAUACAUUAUAAAUAAGUAGAAUAUGAAUAAAUAGAAUAAUAAAAUUCCAAAAUACUCAAUGGGAAAUGACUAGUAAUAUAGGCUUUCAAGAGUUGGUACCUUUUAGCUAUAUUUGCAGAUACUCUGGGAUUUUAAGGAACUGAGAAAACAGCAAAGUUGACUAAAUUUUAUAUUUCUUGUCCUCUAAAUAUUUUGAUAAUUUCUGGAUUGAUGCAGUGAUGUUUUUGUUCCUUCCGUAUUUAUAAAUGAAACACCUUUUUUUAGUGUUUCUAAACCUAAAAUCUACUUGGUUUGAAAUCAAGUGGUUGGAACACUGUUUGACUUUUAUUUGAAGCAUGUUGUUGAUUGAAAAUUUCAUUGAGGAAGUUUUCAAUCAGUGUGAUCAGUUUGAUUCUGUAAUGAGCACAGCACCUAAUAUUUUGAGGAGCUCUGUUUUGAGGACCAAUGCUUAAGGUGGACUUUGUUCGUAAACAAUAUCCCAAUAGAUUUGUUGACUUGAGGUCUGGUUUUGUUUUGUUUUUGUUUUGUUUUGUUUUCCAAUAGAAUUAAGAAUUCUAAUGUUGAAAAACUGCACAAAUUUUUAUGGGACAAAGCCUAGAAAAGAGAAAUGUAGUUUGAAUCAUAAUCUAAAUCAUGGUAUGAUAGAAGAGGGAAAGUUUUGGUGCCAUAAUUUCUCCUUUCACUGGUGUUGGACUUAAAUCAGUUGAAAUGUAUUUCUGUACCACAAUUUACGCUUCAAUAAAAGUUUAAUUGUCUAGUGACAUUCAGAA